GCAUCAAUGGGGUAAUGGUAACCUGGGUCGUUGCCAUGCGUUUCGCGUACUGACUGGAAGCGUCGACCCGCCGGGGGUUCGAUUCCCUCUUGAUGCA
rnacentral:tRNA from 1 species